rnacentral:rRNA from 1 species
GACGAACGCUGGCGGCGUGCUUAACACACGCAAGUCGAACGGAAAGGCCCUGCUUUUGUGGGGUGCUCGAGUGGCGAACGGGUGAGUAACACGUGAGUAACCUGCCCUUGACUUUGGGAUAACUUCAGGAAACUGGGGCUAAUACCGGAUAGGAGCUCCUGCUGCAUGGUGGGGGUUGGAAAGUUUCGGCGGUUGGGGAUGGACUCGCGGCUUAUCAGCUUGUUGGUGGGGUAGUGGCUUACCAAGGCUUUGACGGGUAGCCGGCCUGAGAGGGUGACCGGCCACAUUGGGACUGGGAUACGGCCCAGACUCCUACGGGAGGCAGCAGUGGGGAAUAUUGCACAAUGGGCGGAAGCCUGAUGCAGCAACGCCGCGUGGGGGAUGACGGCCUUCGGGUUGUAAACCGCUUUCGCCUGUGACGAAGCGUGAGUGACGGUAAUGGGUAAAGAAGCACCGGCUAACUACGUG